rnacentral:rRNA from 1 species
GACGAGGCACUACGGUGCUGAAGCAACAAAUGCCCUGCUUCCAGGAAAAGCCUCUAAGCAUCAGGUAACACGAAAUCGUACCCCAAACCGACACAGGUGGUCAGGUAGAGAAUACCAAGGCGCUUGAGAGAACUCGGGUGAAGGAACUAGGCAAAAUGGUGCCGUAACUUCGGGAGAAGGCACGCUGACACGUAGGUGAAGUGAUUUACUCAUGGAGCUGAAGUCAGUCGAAGAUACCAGCUGGCUGCAACUGUUUAUUAAAAACACAGCACUGUGCAAACACGAAAGUGGACGUAUACGGUGUGACGCCUGCCCGGUGCCGGAAGGUUAAUUGAUGGGGUCAGCGCAAGCGAAGCUCCUGAUCGAAGCCCCGGUAAACGGCGGCCGUAACUAUAACGGUCCUAAGGUAGCGAAAUUCCUUGUCGGGUAAGUUCCGACCUGCACGAAUGGCGUAAUGAUGGCCAGGCUGUCUCCACCCGAGACUCAGUGAAAUUGAACUCGCUGUGAAGAUGCAGUGUACCCGCGGCAAGACGGAAAGACCCCGUGAACCUUUACUAUAGCUUGACACUGAACAUUGAGCCUUGAUGUGUAGGAUAGGUGGGAGGCUUUGAAGUGUGGACGCCAGUCUGCAUGGAGCCGACCUUGAAAUACCACCCUUUAAUGUUUGAUGUUCUAACGUGGACCCGUAAUCCGGGUUGCGGACAGUGUCUGGUGGGUAGUUUGACUGGGGCGGUCUCCUCCUAAAGAGUAACGGAGGAGCACGAAGGUUGGCUAAUCCUGGUCGGACAUCAGGAGGUUAGUGCAAUGGCAUAAGCCAGCUUGACUGCGAGCGUGACGGCGCGAGCAGGUGCGAAAGCAGGUCAUAGUGAUCCGGUGGUUCUGAAUGGAAGGGCCAUCGCUCAACGGAUAAAAGGUACUCCGGGGAUAACAGGCUGAUACCGCCCAAGAGUUCAUAUCGACGGCGGUGUUUGGCACCUCGAUGUCGGCUCAUCACAUCCUGGGGCUGAAGUAGGUCCCAAGGGUAUGGCUGUUCGCCAUUUAAAGUGGUACGCGAGCUGGGUUUAGAACGUCGUGAGACAGUUCGGUCCCUAUCUGCCGUGGGCGCUGGAGAACUGAGGGGGGCUGCUCCUAGUACGAGAGGACCGGAGUGGACGCAUCACUGGUGUUCGGGUUGUCAUGCCAAUGGCACUGCCCGGUAGCUAAAUGCGGAAGAGAUAAGUGCUGAAAGCAUCUAAGCACGAAACUUGCCCCGAGAUGAGUUCUCCCUGAGACUUAGAGUCUCCUGAAGGAACGUUGAAGACGACGA